rnacentral:rRNA from 1 species
AACGAACGCUGGCGGCAUGCCUAACACAUGCAAGUCGAACGAGACCUUCGGGUCUAUUGGCGCACGGGUGCGUAACGCGUGGGAACCUGCCCUUAGGUUCGGAAUAACUCCCCGAAAGGGGUGCUAAUACCGGAUAAUGUCUUCGGACCAAAGAUUUAUCGCCUUUGGAUGGGCCCGCGUUGGAUUAGCUAGUUGGUAGGGUAAAAGCCUACCAAGCCGACGAUCCAUAGCUGGUCUGAGAGGAUGAUCAGCCACACUGGGACUGAGACACGGCCCAGACUCCUACGGGAGGCAGCAGUGGGGAAUAGUGGACAAUGGGCGAAAGCCUGAUCCAGCAAUGCCGCGUGAGUGAUGAAGGCCUUAGGGUUGUAAAGCUCUUUUACCCGGGAUGAUAAUGACAGUACCGGGAGAAUAAGCUCCGGCUAACUCCGUG